CCUACGGGUGGCAGCAGUGAGGAAUAUUGGUCAAUGGGCGCAAGCCUGAACCAGCCAAGUCGCGUGAGGGAUGACGGUCCUAUGGAUUGUAAACCUCUUUUGUCGGGGAGCAAGGCCCGCCACGUGUGGCGGGAAGGAGAGUACCCGAAGAAAAAGCAUCGGCUAACUCCGUGCCAGCAGCCGCGGUAAUACGUAGGUGGCAAGCGUUGUUCGGAAUAACUGGGCGUAAAGGAUGCGUAGGCGGUUAAACAAGUUAUAUGUUAAAUAUAUAGGCUUAACCUGUAGAAAGCAUAUAAAACUGUUUAACUAGAGUGCAGGAGAGGUAAGUGGAAUUCCUAGUGUAGCGGUGAAAUGCGUAGAGAUUAGGAAGAACACCAGUGGCGAAGGCGACUUACUGGACUGUAACUGACGCUGAGGCAUGAGAGCAUGGGGAGCAAACAGGAUUAGAGACCCUUGUAGUC
rnacentral:rRNA from 1 species